GCAAAUUGCAACAUGCAUCCAAAAGGCCUGGGAUCUUUGGGUACACACAACCUUCACUUAUCUCUAAAAACAAUAGAAAAAAAUGUGUGUAUAUAUACUUCACAAUCUGCUCCUCAGAAAGAAAAUCACAAGUGCAUGGCCCAACACAAGGGCAAAAUGCUCAACACAACACCGUCCGAAUCCGGCAGCUGCGCCCGUACAACUGUUUGGAUGUGGAUGACCCCACAUGUGUGGAGGAACCCACCUGUGUUAGUGCGAGAGCCUACAUGCAAGCAUAGAUAUUUCUGCCUCUAACUCUG